rnacentral:rRNA from 1 species
AUUGAACGCUGGCGGCAUGCCUUACACAUGCAAGUCGAACGGCAGCGGGGGAGAAGCUUGCUUUUCCUGCCGGCGAGUGGCGAACGGGUGAGUAAUACAUCGGAACGUGCCCUGUAGUGGGGGAUAACUAGUCGAAACAUUAGCUAAUACCGCAUACGACCUGAGGGUGAAAGUGGGGGACCGCAAGGCCUCAUGCUAUAGGAGCGGCCGAUGUCUGAUUAGCUAGUUGGUGGGGUAAAGGCCUACCAAGGCGACGAUCAGUAGCUGGUCUGAGAGGACGAUCAGGCACACUGGGACUGAGACACGGCCCAGACUCCUACGGGAGGCAGCAGUGGGGAAUUUUGGACAAUGGGCGAAAGCCUGAUCCAGCAAUGCCGCGUGUGUGAAGAAGGCCUUCGGGUUGUAAAGCACUUUUGUCCGGAAAGAAAUGGCUCUGGUUAAUACCUGGGGUCGAUGACGGUACCGGAAGAAUAAGGACUGGCUAACUACGUGCCAGCAGCCGCGGUAA